rnacentral:rRNA from 1 species
GAUGAACGCUGGCGGCGUGCCUAAUACAUGCAAGUCGAGCGAAUGGAUUGAGAGCUUGCUCUUAUGAAGUUAGCGGCGGACGGGUGAGUAACACGUGGGUAACCUGCCCAUAAGACUGGGAUAACUCCGGGAAACCGGGGCUAAUACCGGAUAACAUUUUGAACCGCAUGGUUCGAAAUUGAAAGGCGGCUUCGGCUGUCACUUAUGGAUGGACCCGCGUCGCAUUAGCUAGUUGGGGAGGUAACGGCUCACCAAGGCAACGAUGCGUAGCCGACCUGAGAGGGUGAUCGGCCACACUGGGGCUGAGACACGGCCCAGACUCCUACGGGAGGCAGCAGUAGGGAAUCUUCCGCAAUGGACGAAAGUCUGACGGAGCAACGCCGCGUGAGUGAUGAAGGCUUUCGGGUCGUAAAACUCUGUUGUUAGGGAAGAACAAGUGCUAGUUGAAUAAGCUGGCACCUUGACGGUACCUAACCAGAAAGCCACGGCUAACUACGUGCCAGCAGCCGCCGCGG